GUGCUUCCCUCAGCAGCACAUAUACUAAAACUGGACUGAUACAGAGAAGAUUAGCAUGGUCCCUGCACAAGGAUGACAUGCAAAUUCGUGAAGCAGGCCAUGUUUUU
ensembl:snRNA U6 U6 spliceosomal RNA